UCCCUCCCCUCGGCUCGGUCCGCAGCUCCCGCUAUGGCUGCGCUGCGGAGGCUCCUGUGGCCGCCGCCUCGGCUGUCGCCGACGCUCGCCCCUCAGCAGCCCUUCCUCUCGCCGUGGGGACGGCCUGCGGGGACCGCUCCGGGGAUGUCGGGCCGGCCCUUCUCCUGCCGGGAGGAGGACGAGGGGGCCGUAGCGGAGGCAGCGGCGUGGCGGCGGCGGCGCUGGGGCGAGCUGAGCAUCGCGGCGGCAGCGGGCGGGGGGCUCGUCGGCCUUGUGUGCUACCAACUGUACGGGGACCCCAGAGCCGACCCCUCGGAGCGAGCGGUCCCAGAACUCGAGGAGCCGCCCCGCGGCAGGGGGCUGCUGCCCAUCCCGGUGGCUGCUGCCAAGGAGACGGUUGCUGCUGGCAGAGCUGUUACUGAAGACUUGGACCUCUAUGCUACAUCUCGAGAGAGACGCUUUCGUUUAUUUGCAUCUAUAGAAUGUGAAGGACAGUUAUUCAUGACUCCAUAUGAUUUUAUUUUGGCUGUUACAACAGAUGAGCCCAAAUUUGCUAAAACGUGGAAGUCACUUUCUAAACAGGAAUUAAGUCAGAUGCUCUCAGAAACUCCACCAGUUUGGAAGGGAUCAUCAAAGCUUUUUCGAAAUCUUAAAGAAAGGGGUGUGAUUUCUUACACAGAAUAUCUUUUUCUUUUAUGUAUUUUAACAAAGCCCCAUGCAGGUUUUAGAAUAGCUUUCAACAUGUUUGACACCGAUGGCAAUGAGAUGGUGGAUAAAAAAGAAUUUUUGGUGCUUCAGGAGAUAUUCAGGAAAAAAAAUGAAAAGAGAGAAACUAAAGGAGAUGAAGAAAAACGUGCGAUGCUGCGUCUUCAACUUUAUGGAUACCAUUCUCCUACUAAUAGUGUACUUAAAACAGAUGCCGAGGAACUUGUCUCCAGGAGCUACUGGGAUACCCUGAGACGCAGCACAAGCCAGGCGCUCUUCUCCGACCUUGCAGAGCGUGCUGAUGACAUCACAAGCUUAGUAGCAGACACUACACUUCUGGUCCACUUUUUUGGAAAGAAAGGAAAAGCUGAGCUCAACUUUGAAGAUUUUUAUAGAUUUAUGGAUAAUCUACAAACAGAAGUUCUAGAAAUAGAAUUUCUUUCCUACUCUAAUGGAAUGAGUACUAUCAGUGAAGAAGAUUUUGCCCAUAUUCUUCUACGGUAUACUAAUGUGGAAAAUACAUCAGUAUUUUUGGAAAAUGUGCGCUACAGUAUACCUGAAGAGAAGGGUAUCACAUUUGAUGAAUUCAGGUCAUUUUUCCAGUUUCUAAACAACUUAGAAGACUUUGCAAUAGCUCUCAAUAUGUAUAACUUUGCAAGUCGUUCUAUAGGACAAGAUGAAUUUAAACGUGCUGUAUACGUAGCUACUGGACUGAAACUUUCACCACAUUUGGUGAACACUGUCUUCAAGAUUUUUGAUGUUGACAAAGAUGACCAAUUAAGUUAUAAAGAAUUUAUUGGGAUUAUGAAAGACAGACUCCAUAGAGGGUUCCGGGGCUAUAAAGCAGUGCAGAAGUAUCCGACCUUCAAAUCCUGCCUGAAAAAAGAACUUCACAGCAGAUAAUCCAUCCUCGCAGGAAGGAAGCAGAAGCAUGAAGCUCACUCAUAUCUCCUCAGAGUCAGGAAGCAGAGAGCAGUCAGAGCAUCCUGCCACUUACUUCACUGUCUCCGUUUAUAUUGUUCAAAAUUCCAGCCAGAGAGCGGUCAGUUAUCCACCUCACAUUAUGCAACCAGUAUAACUCCCACAAGCAAGUCCAGAGGCCUGUCUCCCAGAUCCUCCUAAACACGAAUUGAAGGAUUAUGAUCUAUGUGACCAGGCAAGGAGCAGGAUUUUGAGUGGAUCCAAAUGUAAGGUCAGAGCAUGCAGAAAAUGAAGGGAACGUGAGAUGCUAUGAAAUUUACAUUUUUGACAAACAGAGGAAAACUGCAUCUUCUAAUCACAAGCAUUAGCCAGGGUUGAGCCUGAGCACCGCCAGAGAAAACUUGCUGCAAACACUAAAUAUAAUCAGCUGAGCUUUCAGAGCAGUGGUUGACUGCCUUGAACUUUUUCAUUCCCUACACAUGGGUAGUCCCAAUGACUAUCUGAGAAUAUUUAGAUUGUUUAUUUAUUUACUACAAAUGUCCUUUAUUUCAGAAUACUUUAUGAAUGAUAGAAUAUAGAUGGAAACACAUUUUCUUCAUGUUUGCACUGUGAGCGUGUUUUCAUACAGUGAAUAUUGCUUCAGACUUGUCCUGGACCUUAAAUUGUUAGUAAGUCUCUGUUAUUUAUCUUGUAUUUAAUUUUACUGAAGUAACUUCAGAAAACAAGUGAAAAUUUACUAAGCAGUAGGAUGGUUUACAUUGUACUUUCAGCUUUUAAAAGUACUUAUGUAAUGUACAUUGUUGGAUUUAUGUAAAUUUUUGUUUGUUUUUGCUGUUCUUUGUGUUUUGUUUUUUGUACCAAAGCCAAAAGAGAUUCAGGUAUUUUAUUUUAACAGACACUUAGAUUUUUUUUGUUUUAAGAAAGCACAGCAGUCAUGUGCUGAUGUAAGCAAGAGCAGUGGCAGUAGAAAUCAUCAUCCUGCGCUCCUAGUUGCAGGUGUGACAUACAGAAAUAAGAACAGUGACAUAUUGGAUAUUGUUAACAUAUGUCUAUAGCAUCAAAACUAAUAUAAAUGGCCUAGAAGGUUGAUGUAUAUUUAUUUAAUAGGUAGAAAAUAGUUUUGUACCUUGAAAAAAAGGACCACAUGCAAAAUUGAUCCAGUCAGUAGUGAUGAAUCACUUAUAUGUAACCCAUUAUUAUUGAAAUAAUAUGUCUUAAAAGAGAAAAUAAAACUUUCUCUUGAAAACCCCACUUGAAAGACCAGCCAGCAUGGGUCACAACUCAGUGUCUGCCUGGGCUGUCGUGCAAGCUCAAGCCAUCUCAGCAACUUAGAAGAACCCUGCCAAUGAUAAAAGUGCUGGGAAGUAAGUAGCUUAAUGUAGAGGGUCUGCCUGCCUGCCGUGCAUGAGGCCUUAGGGUUAGUCCCCAGCUCUGGAAAAGAAAGGACAGGCAGGGGAAGGGAAGGGAAGGGAAAGAAAGAAGUAGAAAAAGAAAAAAGAAAUCCUAGAUUUUCACAUUGAAAACUAAUUUUAGAAUAUUUAAUAGAACUUUGGCUACCUGAUAAAAUUGGUUUAUACAAAGGUACUAUAAAAUAAUGUAGUGAGUUUAAGUUAAUAUAUUUAUGUAUUGCAUGUCAAAAGAUUAAUAGAUUUGUUUAUCUUCUUUUGUAAGAUGUGUGUAGUAUAAAUUGCAUACACUCCAACCAUUAUUUGCUUUUGCAUAGGAAAAUAGGAAACACUGGCUUUAUUUUAAGUUAUUGAAUGUGAAAUUGAUCUGCAUCAGCCUAUUUGUAAACUGUUUGUUUUGGUAUUAUUAGUAUUGAUUAUGUUUUUAGACUUUCCCACAUUCUUUGUCUAUUAUUAUUUAUUAUACCAAUAAAGAAAUAGAAAUGUGCUAAUGCAA